rnacentral:rRNA from 1 species
UACGAAGGCGGCCAGCGUUGUCCGGAAUUACUGGGAGUAAAGCGCGCGCAGGCGGUCUCUUAAGUCUGAUGUGAAAGCCCACGGCUCAACCGUGGAGGGUCAUUGGAAACUGGGGGACUUGAGUGUAGGAGAGGAAAGUGGAAUUCCUCGUGUAGCGGUGAAAUGCGUAGAUAUGUGGAGGAACUCAAGUGGCGAAGGCGGCUUUCUGGCCUACAACUGACGCUGAGGCGCGAAAGCGUGGGGAGCAAACAGG